rnacentral:rRNA from 1 species
CGCCUUUUGUAAAUAUAAAUAUAAAAGGUCCUGCCUGCCCAAUGACUUGUUUUAAUGGCCGCGGUAUUGUGACCGUGCAAAGGUAGCGUAAUCAUUUGUCUUUUAAAUAAAGACCAGUAUGAACGGCAAGACGAAAGCCCCACUGUCUCCCUAGCCCAAUCAAUGAAAUUGAUCUUCCCGUGCAGAAGCGGGAAUAUAAAUAUAAGACGAGAAGACCCUGUGGAGCUUUAAACUACAGCUAGCAACUACAAAUGCUUUAGUUCCAAAUUUUAGGUUGGGGCGACCAUGAGGUAUAAUACAACCCUCACGAUAUAACCAAGAAGGACACUUCAAACAAUUAACAUAAUACAUUGACCCAAUAAUUGAUCAACGAACCAAGUUACCCCAGGGAUAACAGCGCAAUCUACUCAAAGAGUUCAUAUCGACGAGCAGGUUUACGACCUCGAUGUUGGAUCAGGACCCCCAAAUAGCGCAGCAGCUAUUAAAGGUUCGUUUGUUCAACGAUUAAAGUCCU